rnacentral:rRNA from 1 species
CAGUCGAACGAAGCACUUAAACCUGAUUCUUCGGAUGAAGGUUUUUGUGACUGAGUGGCGGACGGGUGAGUAACGCGUGGGUAACCUGCCUCAUACAGGGGGGAUAACAGUUAGAAAUGACUGCUAAUACCGCAUAAGACCACGGAGCCGCAUGGCUCAGUGGGAAAAACUCCGGUGGUAUGAGAUGGACCCGCGUCUGAUUAGGUAGUUGGUGGGGUAACGGCCUACCAAGCCAACGAUCAGUAGCCGACCUGAGAGGGUGACCGGCCACAUUGGGACUGAGACACGGCCCAAACUCCUACGGGAGGCAGCAGUGGGGAAUAUUGCACAAUGGGGGAAACCCUGAUGCAGCGACGCCGCGUGAGCGAAGAAGUAUUUCGGUAUGUAAAGCUCUAUCAGCAGGGAAGAAAAUGACGGUACCUGACUAAGAAGCACCGGCUAAAUACGUGCCAGCAGCCGCGGUAAUACGUAUGGUGCAAGCGUUAUCCGGAUUUACUGGGUGUAAAGGGAGCGUAGACGGCUGUGUAAGUCUGAAGUGAAAGCCCGGGGCUCAACCCCGGGACUGCUUUGGAAACUAUGCAGCUAGAGUGUCGGAGAGGUAAGUGGAAUUCCCAGUGUAGCGGUGAAAUGCGUAGAUAUUGGGAGGAACACCAGUGGCGAAGGCGGCUUACUGGACGAUGACUGACGUUGAGGCUCGAAAGCGUGGGGAGCAAACAGGAUUAGAUACCCUGGUAGUCCACGCCGUANACGAUGACUACUAGGUGUCGGGGAGCNAAGCUCUUCGGUGCCGCAGCAAACGCAAUAAGUAGUCCACCUGGGGAGUACGUUCGCAAGAAUGAAACU